UGUAAAAUUAUAUCAUCUGUAGUCUAAGGUCAUAGUUGUGAAGAGUGUUUGAUAUGUCACAAAACCUUCAUGGUGAACAAAAAUACUGGCUGGGAAUAAAAAAAACAACAAUGCUAGAAGAUCUAGUGGCUUGGAAAUGAAGACUUGAUGGAUAUUAUAUGAAGUUGUAUGGUGUCAGGGAGCAAUGACAAUUGGUCCUAAUUGUAAA